rnacentral:rRNA from 1 species
GACGAACGCUGGCGGCGUGCUUAACACAUGCAAGUCGAACGGAAAGGCCCUGCUUUCAGUGUACUCGAGUGGCGAACGGGUGAGUAACACGUGGGUGAUCUGCCCUGCUCUUCGGGAUAAGCCUCGUAAACUGGGUCUAGUACCUGCUAGGAGCCAUAUUUAGUGUCAUGGUUGGAAAGUUUUUUCGGUGUAUGAUGAGCUCGCGGCCUAUCAGCUUGUUGGUGUGGUAAUGGCCUACCAAGGCGGCGACGGGUAGCCAGACUGAGAGGGUGGACUGCCACACUGAGACUGAGAGAAGGCACAGACUCCUACGCGAGGCAGAAGUGGGGAAGAUUGCAGAAUGAGCGCAAGGCUGAUGCAGAGACGCCGCGGGGGGGAUGACGGUCUUAGGGUUGAAAAAUAAUUUCGCAAGGGACGAAGCUCUUCGUGACGGUACCUAGACAAGAAGCCACGGCUAACUACGUG